GUGGAGUUCUGCUGAAGAACUCGUAGACACAGUGGAGAAAACAUCUCAAAACUGUCCCCAAGGAAAUGAGCUUCUGCCCCUGCUACUCGCCUGAAGCGGUACUUGCCAUGGUCAACCUCCAAUUGCCACCUCUGGAAGACACUUGAGUACCUACUUGUUCCAGGAACUGUGGAUACAAUGGUGAGGUGAAGAAACACAGAUUCUGCUCUCCCAGAGUCUAGCCCAGCGCAAGAUACUAUAUAAUCAUCUAUCAUAGGAGG